ACAUAUGGCCCAUGAGCACGAAGAAGAAGACGAAGAGUAAUUCGAUGGGCCGUGGGUUCUCGUCUUCUUGAAUCUUAUUUUUCAAUUGCACAACCAACCUUCGCCUUUUACCAUAAUUACGAAAUUACCCUUUCUUGACACUUCCUCUUUCUUCUUCAUUUAAUUUUCUCUUUCUAAACGGGAUUUACAAAUUAUCCGGUUUGCCGGAAUCGAAGCCGUAUUUUGAAGCGAUGAAGAAGGAGUCCACAGGAAACUCGGUAGUUUAAAAGACGCUUAAGUUUAGCAAAGUAACCCUGUGGAUUCUUCUCGAAAUCCUCCCUGACAAUUCGAAUUUCCCCUCCCGUACCCGGAGCUACCAUUGUCGCAGGCGAGCUAGCAUCAUUGCCCUUCUCAUUCUCGUGCAGUUGGGCAAAAUAAGCCUGUGGAUUCUUCUCGAAAUCCUCCCUGACAAUUCUAACUUCACCUCCGGUACCCGGAGCAACCAUUGUCUCAGGAGAGCUACCAUCAACGCCCUUUUUGACUCCUUUGCUGUCCAUCUUCAAGAUAUGUUGUUCUGCUUUCUGAUAUUAGAAAAGGUUAAAAUGAAGAAUUGAAAAUAGUCUAAUGGUGAAGAUUUGCGGGGAUGUUGUUAGUUAUUUAUAGGUGGGAUUCAAAUAGGGUAACGUAAUAUCUUCUCGUAAAUGAGGUGAAGUCUUGCAUGGAUUAAGACGGAGAUUAUUGACUAAUUAAUUUUAUAUGGUGGUUUUUCAAGACUAAUUGCUCGAGGAACAAUGAGAUAACAUGAGUAAAUUUAUCUUCUCUUGAAUGUAUUAUCUUGUUUAAUUUCACAAUUAAUGUAGCUCGAGAAGGAAGGCGAAGCAAGGAGAGAAGCGAGCAGAAGAGACGAGCUACAUGAUUAAUCCGGUGGGUCCGAAUAAGAGAUUACAGAAAACAAGGGUUUUCUUGAUGGUGAUUAAAGAGGAGAGAAGCAAGAAUGGACUAGAAAGCUGACGCCCAACAAUGUAGAAGCUGAGGGGGGAGAACGGUGGACGAACGAACAAGGUUUGGCAUGAACAUUAACAGCAGCACCAACAACAUUAUCACUUCUUGUUUGCUUUCUCAUUCUCGCGCUGCUGAGCAAAAUAAGCCCCUGGAUUCUUCUCGAAAUCCUCCCUGACAAUUCGAACUUCACCUCCAGCCCCCGGAGCGACCAUUGUUGCAGGCGAGCUGCCAGUUCCAGGAUUUGAGUUGUGGGCACCUCCACCGCCCUUUUGGCCACCUCCUCCUUUGCUGUCCAUCUUCAAGAUAUGCUGUUUUGCUUUCAGAUAUUUGAAAGGGCUAGAAAGAAGAAUUGAAAAUAGUCUAGUGGUGAUGAUUUACAGUGCUGUAGUUGGUUAUUUAUAGGUGGGAUUCAAAGUAGGGUAUGAUAUAAUAUCUUCUCGUAAAGGAGGUGAAGUCAUGCAUGGAUUAAAACGGAGGUUAUUGACUAAUUAAUUGUAUAUGGUGGUUUUCAAGACUAGUUACUCGAGGAACAAUGAGAUUAUAUGGAUAAAUUUAUCUUCUCGUGAA